CCUACGGGAGGCAGCAGUGGGGAAUUUUGGACAAUGGGCGCAAGCCUGAUCCAGCAAUGCCGCGUGCAGGAUGAAGGCCUUCGGGUUGUAAACUGCUUUUGUACGGAACGAAACGGUUCGCUUUAAUACAGUGGGCUAAUGACGGUACCGUAAGAAUAAGCACCGGCUAACUACGUGCCAGCAGCCGCGGUAAUACGUAGGGUGCAAGCGUUAAUCGGAAUUACUGGGCGUAAAGCGUGCGCAGGCGGUUAUAUAAGACAGAUGUGAAAUCCCCGGGCUCAACCUGGGACCUGCAUUUGUGACUGUAUGGCUAGAGUACGGUAGAGGGGGAUGGAAUUCCGCGUGUAGCAGUGAAAUGCGUAGAUAUGCGGAGGAACACCGAUGGCGAAGGCAAUCCCCUGGACCUGUACUGACGCUCAUGCACGAAAGCGUGGGGAGCAAACAGGAUUAGAUACCCUGGUAGUCCACGCCCUAAACGAUGUCAACUGGUUNUUGGGUCUUCACUGACUCAGUAACGAAGCUAACGNGNGAGUGACGCGNGGAGACGCGCGAGUGACGUACAGAGAGUGACGCGNGAGAGNGCGAGCGACGACGAGGGAGGAGG
rnacentral:rRNA from 1 species